rnacentral:lncRNA from 1 species
AUGAUUGAUUGGAAGGAGAUUCAGAAGGUUCCUACUACCAAGUGACCAUCUUGGCUCUGCCCCUUGAAUGACUCAGAAAAGUUCUUUCUAACAAAUCCUCUCAGGACUGAAAAUUUAGGCUUGUAUUUUCAUGAUGGAGGAAUAAGGAUUGCUCUGAGCCCACCCAGACCCCACCUCCAAACAACUACACAAAACAAAUUAAAAGCUUCAAAACAAAUUUUGGAGGAGCAGAACCAACAAAAGGCAGAGAGAAGUGGGAAUUCAGCCAAAGAAAAUGUAGAGGACUCCAGGAAGGACCUGUCUUGCUGGGGAGUUUAUACAAAUUGAAGAUGGAAUACAACAAAAGGAAGGUGAAAAGGAAGAAGAUACUUAAUAUGGGGGCAUGAUGGAGAAGUUCAGAGCAUGCUAAAGAGUGUAAGCAGGUGGGAGAAGAAGAGAUGACUGUCCCAGAUCUCCUCAUAAAUGAAGGUUUUGGAGGUCAUGGCUCUACCCUGUAAUAAAAAUGAUACUUGG